ensembl:snRNA LOC120093454 U2 spliceosomal RNA
AUAGCUUCUCGGCUUUUUGGCUAAGGUCAAGUAUAGUAUCUGUUUUUAUCAGUUUAAUAUCUGAUAUGUCCUCUAUCUGAGGACAAUAUAUUAAUUACCAAGGAUGAAGGAACUACUGGACUUAGGUCCUCAGGUACCGUCAGUUGUCCCAUCUACAUGGAUGGAAACUCU